CGCGUAGGCGGGCCUGAAAGUCGAGGGUGAAAGCCCCCAGCUCAACUGGGGAAGUGCCUCCGAUACUUCAGGCCUCGAGGGAGAUAGGGGCGUGCGGAACUUCCGGUGGAGCGGUGAAAUGCGUAGAUAUAACGGAAGGAACACCGGUGGCGAAAGCGGCGCGCUGGAUCUCUUCUGACGCUGAGGCGCGAAAGCCAGGGGAGCGAACG
rnacentral:rRNA from 1 species